UCCCCGCUCUUCUCGCUCGGUUGUCUCCCGUUCUCGGCGUGCCCCUUAUUUAAAAGAUACUGCUCCAUUUUCUGCUCGGUUCCGCGAAGGUCAAAGGAGAGCGCCAAGUAGGGCCAUUAUGCCCUAUUCUCCUCGCCGCCUGCCAUGGACGCUGUCGCUGCCAUCACCACUGCCAAUAUUGUCUACCAUUUGGCUGCAACUUCUGGAAUUGCCCCGAGUAUCCGCUUAGCCGACCAAGGUUCGAGGUGCUGCUUUGGUCGUACGCGAGGCUUAGGGUUGUCUGUGAACCAAAGAAAGGAGAGAUUUGUGAUGAAUUGCGGUGGAGAACGCAAGAGGGACAUGAUCUCUUCUGCACUGGUUGAAGGAGUUGCUGAUAGAUUGGAAAGUUCCUCACUUGAAAUGGCCAUCGGCCACGGAAAACGGGCCUUAUGAUUACACUAGAAGUGGAAAUCCUACUAGAGAUGUCUUACAAAGUCUUUUAGCAAAAUUGGAGAAAGCUCAUCGUGCAUUUUGUUUCACUAGUGGAAUGGCUGCUCUUUCUACCAUCAUUUCUCUUAUUGCCUCUGGUGAAGAAAUUGUUGCUGGAGAGGACAUUUAUGGUGGCUCUGACCGAUUGCUCUCUCAAGUGGUCCCAAAGAAAGGCAUUGUGGUCAAGCAAGUUGAUACAUCUAAUUUGCUUGAAGUGGCUUCUGUAAUUGGAUCAAAGACUAAGCUGGUUUGGUUGGAGAGUCCU